rnacentral:misc_RNA from 1 species
UCGAGUUUACAACUCCCAAACCCCUGUGAACAUACCACUUGUUGCCUCGGCGGAUCAGCCCGCUCCCGGUAAAACGGGACGGCCCGCCAGAGGACCCCUAAACUCUGUUUCUAUAUGUAACUUCUGAGUAAAACCAUAAAUAAAUCA